AGGUGACCCCAGCCAGUGGCUUGUCCUUUGUGGGUCUUAGUGUUCUCCUGGGUAAGGGGCACACCUCAGCCAGGGCUGCUGAGGUAACAAAGGAUGAAUCCUAUGUGAUGCCGAGACUGUCCCUGCCAGUACUGAAGACUAGAACAUCACAGCUUUGCCUGUCACGCCAGGAUGGACCAAGGAAACAUCGAGAACCAAAGCCCAGACUCUUCUGAAGCACCAAAGCCAGUGUGGAAGGGUUUGGAUGGAAGGUUAGUCAACAAGAGUCACAACAGUGGUGUUUUUCUCAGUGGCCUGAAAUGGCUGGUCUGCCACAGUGGCCUGGGUACCCCGCUCCUUCGUAACCUAGGUGGGCAGGGCAAGUACCCAAUUAGCCCUGCUUGGACCUCCCACGAGAUUGAUUUUUGUGUGGCAAAUGAAGGGACAGACCCCCCCACACACCAGCAACCAACAAAACCUCAGGUAGGAUACCCACAGCUCCCACAGAAAGCCAAUCUCUCACGCAGGACAGAGGCCUCCUGGGAGGGGCAGUGUGAGAACAGGCGAAGGUUGUGUGUGUCAGCCAGAGUGGGGCGCUGGGGAGGGGGGCAGCAGCUCAGGUCUGUGGAGACAGAACAGUGUGUUAGAGAGGCAACCACACAGGCCUGUGCCCAACAGUCCCAAGGAAGCACACAAACCCCUGGCUGUUCGACAAGGCUUGGGAGAGAGGAAGUGGGAAGGAAGAGAGAAGGAAACAGAACUAGCUGGAGCUGCCUGAGGUGCACAGUUCAUAGCUUCACCCACAGACUCCAGCAACUGGCUUGCCAGGGGCAUUCUACACUGAGGACCCUUUCUGAGGGAAGCUGGUGUUUUCCAAAAAUAGCUGCCAGGUCAGAAUUGCUUUCCACUCAGAGGUGGGAAGACGGAAAAUUCCAGAAACCCCCCUAUGUAAUGUAAUGAGGCCUUUCACGGCUCACCCAACAGACUCUGGAAAACAGUAAACAACUGACCAGCUGUUUAGAGAGUACUAAAGGGUCUCCUUUAAGAGAGCUAAAGCUGGAAUCUAGUGCGGCGUGUUAUCCACGCACCCGUGUGGCUCCAGAAGCAGUGACCUCGGAGAGACCACCUCUGGAUGUGCUGUCACGGUUGGACAUGGUUACCUCUGAAGCUCAGACAGAAUUUCGUCCCCAGGCUGGGGAAACGACUCAGUAGUUAAAUGCUUGUCAUGCAAGCGUGAGGAUAUGUAUUCUUAGAACCCACUUAAACACUAGGCAUGCAUCAUAGUACACACCCGUAAUUCCAGAACUCCUGUGGCAAGGGGUGAGGCAGGAGAAUAUCAGGAAGUUCAAGGGCCAGUGAGCUUGGUGCUCAGAGUAGCAGGUCACAGGAAAUCCUGUUGUCGAACAAGGUAGAAGGUGAGAGCCACUACCCAGCAUUGUCCUCUGACCUUCAUGUGUUUGCCAUGGCACAUAUACACUCUGGCACAUGGGAUGCUCAGCCCAGGGACUGGCACUACUAGGAGGUGUGGCCUUGCUGGAGUGGGUGUGGCCUUGUUGGAGUGGGUGUGGCCUUGCUGGAGUGGGUGUGUCACUGUGGGCGUGGCCUUGACACCCUCAUCCUAGCUGCCUGGAAGCCAGUCUUCUCCUAGCAGCCUUCAGAUGAAGAUGUAGAACUCUCAGCUCCUCCUGCACCAUGCCUGCCUGGAUGCUGCCAUGUUCCUACCUUCAUGAUAAUGGACUGAACCUCUAAACCUCCUUCCAAAUAACCAGUGUUCACAGAUGAACACCACUAUGUAAAACAAGAAGAAAAGAGCAAGAAAUCAAGGCCAUCUUGAUGUACAUUGACCAGAGCACCGGAAUCAGGCAAGCAUCCUCUGAAUGAAGAAAGGGGAUUUCUAGUCCCGAGAAGAGCCUUUGUUCCAGCUUAGCCUUGGGCAGACACAGCCUUUUCCCGUAACAACACAGCAGGAGCAUUGCAAAUCUUCAGACCUGAGGACUUAUGGGCCAGAUUUUAAAAUAUGACUAAUUCACAUUCAAAACCAAGGAACUGUAAUGGGAGAUCACCUUUGUCAGUGAGGAUGUAAAACCGGAACUCGGCCCUUCUGUACUACACAGAAAAGAGCAUUCCCACCCAAUCGCACUAGGCUCAUUAGCACCCUACAGUGAACGCUAACAUGCUUUGAGCCGGCCCAACUGUUUCUGAAAAGGGAUUCUUUUGUUUAAAAAGAGACAGCGUUACCGAUGGGGUCUGGGGGUGGGGCGCACGACAGUGUGGGACACUGAAAAUAGCUGUCAGAAUAGCAGUAAUGUGUAUGACUGAAGACACCAUCAGACAAGUUCUUCUCAGUGUUUAUGAUGUCAGAAAAGGAAUGGGCAAGGGUGGAUAUUUAAACAGACUCUUGGCUCCUGUAGCCCGCAGGUUUUUGUUUCUUGGGGUUUAGAGAGAUUCAGAAUGAGGCUUGGAUAAGAACUAGCCCAUGAAGAAGUGGGGGAAUUUCAAAAAGAUGUUAUCUGUGUUUUGCACCCAUGGCUCCCUAGUGAGAAGAGGAAGGUAAGUCAUGGCUGCACUCUCCUGCCCCUGCUUCAGAAUGUUUGUAAAAGCUUUUAUCUGUAAACAGCGACCUUGGAGGGCAGCACACAGAGCCAGGUCCUGGUCCAGGUGCUGUCGAAAGCAUCUGCCCGGGGCCGUCCAGUCUGGCCCCAGGCUCAUGGUGCCCCACGAGGCUGCCACCCUCUCUGGAGAAUGCAAAUGUAUUAAACGUUAAAAAACAAAACAAAAACAAAA